CGCUGCACAGGUCUGUUCACUCGUCCGUGAUACAUCACGUCACGCAAUUUACUACGCAUUCACAUCAUUCCUCCUCACCCCUCAUCUACCUCCACCCACCUCGCUCUGCUUCUUCGCUGCGGAAGGGAAAUCCACCAGAGGGACCAAGGUGAGCAACAGCGCCCUCGUCGUCGAACUACUGGGCGGCGGCAAGGAUCACUCUCCUCUGCCGGGCCGGCAAGUGCCGGGGGCAGGCAAAGCGGAUAGGGGUAGAGAGGGAAGAUGACUGAUUUUUUUAGCGGGAUCCAAGCUGGUAUGGUUGUCAAUCGAUUAGAGAACAAUGAACAGUCGCCCGAAGAUUGGAACAGUGAUGGGGAUGGUUCAGGGGGCACAACUGGUUUGCUUGAAUCACCAUGUUUCACGUCCAGGCUUUCUGUGCUCAAAGUGGGUUCAGUCAUAAGCAAGUUUUCUGAAUUCAAGUGCCAAUUAGUCAGGGAAACUGGAUUCGAUGGAAUGCUUGAGAUAAAAUCAUGGCAGAAGAUCAACCUGAAAUACAACGCUUAUAUAAUGGAUAGAGUCGAUGUAGAUUCACGUAUAAUAAAUCUUGAGCGCCAAGGUGUUAUUGAACUAUGUGACAAGGACAUGAAUUAUGUGUUUGGCAUCCCAUGUGGCGAUUCAACCAUAGAAGGCGAGGGAGUUGAGCCGUCAGUAGCUUGCAUUGAGUAUACCCGUGCGGCAGCAUCAUUUAGUGAUAGAGGCACCCACAGCCUGAAAGCAGCAGAGGCAUACUUAAGCAGAUGCAUAGCAGAAUCAUCUACUCAAUUAGAGCAGGACUGCUUCAAAAUUGCUUUUGUUAUUUUUGUUGUUGGUCAUGUGUUGGCACCUACUGCGAAGCACGAUUAUAUAUUAAUUGAUUUCUGGGCUGCACUGAAUGAUAUCAGCAAGAUAAAGGAUUGGAAUUGGGGAGGAUACGCGUUGAAAAAUCUUUUUCAAGCUGUCAAAAAGUUCAAGGCAGAUGUUUUGAGGAGAAACCCAACCGUGCAUAUAGUUGGAUGUCAUCUGUUUCUGCAGCUUUUUGUGCUUGAUAGCCUCGAGCUGGGUGUUCUAAACAGGGCAAGAGGUGUAACCCCGCGUAUAGGCUUGUACGACUAUGAGUCGAUCAAGAAUAUGGUUGAGAAAAUUACAGUGAAUUCUGCCCCGGGCGAAGUUUCCUUUCACGGCGCACCGGUGCGGAGCGAGCUCUCCGUGAGAAACCUAAGUGUGUGUCGUCCGAAGGAAGUUUGUGCAACAAAUACACCAAAGCCCACGACAGCGCCCAAAAAGGCAAAUGCAACGUGCACACCAAUUCCACGGAAUAGCUAUGCCAAAACCGAUGCGCAAGAGUUUUCAAAUUAUAUACGAACACGCUACCCAAGCAUAUCAACGGAGAAACUCGGCGUACUUCUCCGUGAGCAGAAUGCCCGUGGGCUAGCAAAUAUUUCAGAAAUGCGUCAAGCCUUCCAGUCCAAUAUGUUCACUUUCACUGACAAGCUAAUGAUAUGCAUAGCAGAUAGCUGCACUUGUUGCAAGGCGCAUGGAAGCAAAAGGUGCAUCUUGAAGAGGGAAGACACCAACACCGACAAUGUACCUCCCAUGGCAUCAGUAGAUCAAACCCAAUUCAGCACGCCUUUAGUAAGCAAGAUUGGACCCCGAUUACCAGCACCAGGGAACCAUGAAGAUGGAGUACCUUUGAAGAUUGAUCUACCUCAAUGCAACUUUGGAAGAGACCCGUGGGUUGCUGGAUCAGUCCCAGCACCACCCAUUCCAACUGUUCUUAGGGCUAUAAGAGACUGGAUGACUGGAGCUUCCAUGCUAAACCUUGAGAGGAAAUGGAUCGUGCAUCCCAAACCAAGACUUAUAUCUCUAGAUGGUGUUGAAAUCCAUCGACAGCUUGUGCUAAAUGAUCCAAUGACCCAUGAGAUGGCCACAGCUAUUUUUCAUAGACUUGGUCAAAUUGAUAUGUUAUUCUCGAAGGACACUCCCAGACACAUAUGGAGGAAAUUUGUUGAACCAGACUUUGCGACAACUAUUUUGGCGAAUGCUGACCCACUGACGGUUCAAUCUAUUAGGACUAGUUUCCAAGAAGGAACUUCAUCUUGCAACCCAGCUUCAUGCCGGAUGUGGUACAUCUCGGCGAUCCUACCUGAUAGUUGGACAGUAUAUGCAUUUGAUAUGCUCAGAAAAAGGAUCAUCGUGCUAGACCCAGCCGUAGGGCCGUUUGGUUAUAGCAAUCGCCGAGUAAGCAUGCAUGAAUUUGUUAGCAACAAACUCCAUGCUGCUUUGUUCAACUGUCUGGAGAAAUUCUUUAGCUCAUGGCACUGUUAAUCAAGCCAUUGGGGGCGCACUUUUCCUAUCGUAAUGAGGGAAAAGAUUGAUAAGGAUCAGACUGGGCUGUGUGCCACAUUCUUUGCCUGGAACUACGACGGCGACAAACUACAGAUACCACUAAACAAGGACACGCUAUCAUCGCACAGCAGCUUGAUGAUAUAUGAACUAAUGAGGAUGCAAGGGAACCAAACUUCAGUGGCAAACGACGCCCUCGAAGCUGUCAAAGCGUCGUUCACAGCCCUAUAAAAUAGCACAUCGUUGAUCGGUCUGCUCAUGUAAUUUCGAUUACUUAUAAGCAGAACAAACUUGUAGACUAAUUUUCCCCAGUACUACGACGAUCACCGAGUGAUCCUAUCUAAUGCAUGCAAAUUCUUAGCCA